rnacentral:rRNA from 1 species
UACGGGGGGGGUAAGCGUUGUUCGGAAUUACUGGGCGUAAAGGGCGCGUAGGCGGCCUUCUAAGUCGAACGUGAAAUCCCCGGGCUCAACCCGGGAACUGCGUCCGAUACUGGAAGGCUUGAAUCCGGGAGAGGGAUGCGGAAUUCCAGGUGUAGCGGUGAAAUGCGUAGAUAUCUGGAGGAACACCGGUGGCGAAGGCGGCAUCCUGGACCAACACUGACGCUGAGGAGCGAAAGCCAGGGGAGCAAACGGG